UUGUAUUGCCUCUGGUUUAUUUUGUUGUCGUAUUAGAUAAUAUUAAAAUCAAAGGAAGAGUUUUUGCAUAGGUGUGUUAUGGUUCACGUGAAGAGCUGUUAGGGAGAAGAAUAUUUUAUUUGGUUAGUAGCAAGAACCGAGAUGCAGAAGGGGGAAAAGUUCUUUUAUUGAAGAUUGGAAUUUUGGAAAAAGGGGGUUUGGUGUUGGGCGUGAGGCAUGAGGGAUUUGUGAGAAUGACAAAGGUUAAGAGUAGGAUGUGUUUUAACGUAAGAAACUUGGUAGGGAUGAAGGAGAGUAGCUCUUGGGUUUGGCUUGAGAGUGAAGAAGGUUAAGGACGAAGAUACAUAGUGGCUGCUGGAAUGAGGUUUUAUAAAAUGAGGAAGUUUAAGUGAAAGAAGAAAGAAUAGAAAUAAAAGGAAGAGUUACUUGAGUGUUGUAUAAAAUAAUUUUAAAUACUUUAAUAUUGAGAGGGUUUUAAUGAUUUGGGGUGCAGGAAAUAUUAUACGU
rnacentral:lncRNA from 1 species